rnacentral:lncRNA from 1 species
CAACUUUAAGAUUGCUUUGUUUACAAACGUAAAAUCACCAUAUCACUCUGUUGAAUUUUUUGUUCAACCAAUUUUUUGGGGUCAAAAUAGAGCCUUUUAAGUGAAAGCUUAAGCUUACCUCAAACCUAUCAAAGCCAUUCAUUAGUAGUGGUGGGGAGGAGGAGGUGAAGUGUAUAAGUAAUGAUGAGGUGGCGGUGGUGGCGGUGGGGAUUUGUAUUUGUAAGGGUGAUGUGGUGGUGGGUAGUGCGGUGGUGGUGGUGGUGGUGGGGAUUUGUAUUUGUAAGGGUGAUGCGGCGGUGGGUAGUGCACUGGUGGUGGUGGUGGUGGUGGUGAUGGUGGUGGUGGCGGUGGCGGUGGGGAUUUGUAUUUGUAAGGGUGAUGUGGUGGUGGGUAGUGCGGUGGUGGGUAGUGCACUGGUGGUGGUGGUGGUGGCGGUGGGGAUUUGUAUUUGUAAGGGUGAUGUGGUGGUGGGUAGUGCACUGGUGGUGGUGGUGUUUGUGGUGGUUGCUGUGGUUUUUUGUAUUUGUAAUUUAUUCGUGGUGGGUUGGUGAUUUGCGGUGGUGUGGUAGUUCACUUGUGGUGGUGCGGCGGCGGCGGGGACUUGUAUUUGUAAGGGUGAUGUGGUGGUGAGUAGUGCACGGGAGGCGGUGGUGGCGGGGGCGUGGACUUGUACUUGUAAGGUGUGCGUGGUGAGUAGUGCAUGGGUUGGCGGCGGCGGGGACCUUGUAUUUGUAAGGGUGAUGUGGUGUUAGUAGUGCACGGGUGGUGGCGGCGGCGCCGGCGGGGACUUGUAUUUGUAAGGGUGAUG